GACGAACGCUGGCGGCGUGCUUAACACAUGCAAGUCGAACGGAAAGGCCCUGCUCUUGUGGUGUGCUCGUGUGGCGAACGGGUGUGAAACACGAGUGUAACCUGCCCUUGACUUUGGGAUAUCUUGAGGAAAGUGGGGCUAAUACGGGAUAGGAGCUCGUGCUGCGUGGUGGGGGUUGGAGAGUUUCGGCGGUUGGGUAUGGACUCGGGGUUUCUGCGCUUGUUGGGGGGGUAGUGGCUUCCAAAGGUUUUGACGGGUCGCCGGCCUGAGAGGGGGACGGGCCACAUGGGGACUGGGAUACGGCCCAGACUCCAACGGGAGGCAGCGGGGGGAAAUAUUGCACAAUGGUGGGAAGCCUGUGGCAGCAACGCCGGGGGCGGGAUACCGGCCUUCGGGUGGUAAACCGCUUUCGCCUGUAACGAGGCGUGAGUGACGGUAAUGGGUAAAGAAGCACCGGCUAACUACGUG
rnacentral:rRNA from 1 species